rnacentral:rRNA from 1 species
UUUCGCAAUGCCCGAAAGGGUGACGAAGCGACGCCGCGUGCGGGAAGAAGGCCUUCGGGUUGUAAACCGCUGUCGGGAGUUAAGAAAUGUAAGGAUGUUAAUAGCAUCUUUGCUUGACUAAGGCUCCGGAGGAAGCCACGGCUAACUCUGUGCCAGCAGCCGCGGUAAUACAGAGGCGGCAAGCGUUGUUCGGAAUUAUUGGGCGUAAAGAGCACGUAGGCGGCUAUGUAAGUCGGUUGUGAAAGCCUUCCGCUCAACGGGAGAACAGCAUCCGAUACUGCGUGGCUUGAGUGCGGGAGGGGAGAGUGGAACUUCUGGUGGAGCGGUGAAAUGCGUAGAUAUCAGAAGGAACGCCGGCGGCGAAAGCGGCUCUCUGGCCUAUAACUGACGCUGAGUGUGCGAAAGCUAGGGGAGCAAACGGGAUUAGAUACCCCGGUAGUCCUAGCCGUAAACGAUGGGCACUAAGUAGAGGGGUUUUA